rnacentral:rRNA from 1 species
AGGGUGUAAACGCUGCAGACUUGGUGUUGGAAGCCCUUUGGGGGCAUUCAGUGCCGGAGAGAAGUUGUUAAGUCUGCUACUUGGGGAGUACGUCCGCAAGGAUGAAACUUAAAGGAAUUGGCGGGGGAGGCACCGCAACGGGAGGAGCGUGCGGUUUAAUUGGAUUCAACACCGUAAAACUCACCAGGGAAGACUGUUACAUGAAAGCCGAGAUGAAGACUCUGCUAGAUUUUCAGAGAGGAGGUGCAUGGCGUCAGUGACU